rnacentral:rRNA from 1 species
AACGCGAAGAACCUUACCCAGGCUUGAACAGCGAGUGACAAACUACGAAAGUGGUCUUCCGCAAGGACACUCGUAGAGGUGCUGCAUGGCUGUCGUCAGCUCGUGUCGUGAGAUGUUGGGUUAAGUCCCGCAACGAGCGCAACCCUUGUGAACUGUUGCUACCCAGCACUUCGGUGUUGGGGCACUCUGUUCAGACUGCCCUGUGAAACGGGGAGGAAGGUGGGGACGACGUCAAGUCAGGAUGGCCCUUACGCCCAGGGCUGCACACGUACUACAAUGCUCAGUACAGAACGAACCGAAAUCGCGAGGUGGAGGAAAUCACUAAAACUGAGCCCAGUUCGGAUUGUAGGCUGCAACUCGCCUACAUGAAGCCGGAAUCGCUAGUAAUGGCGUAUCAGCUACGACGCCGUGAAUACGUUCCCGGGCCUUGUACACACCGACGCGUA